rnacentral:lncRNA from 1 species
GGGUUACAAGAAAGGAUAUGAUUAAGAGAAUUCACAAAGUUGUCUAUCCUAAGGGAGCAUUUCCAUAUAUUCAACUCUACACAAUUUCCAUUUCUUUGGUUCCCAUCUUUUUCUUUUCUUUUUCUUUUUACAUUCACACAACCAUGAGCCUUUUCUUUGUUUUUUCUAUCUUUUCUUUUUCUUUGCUCUAUGGUUUCAAGGGUGAUUUCUUUUUCUUGUUUCUUUUCAUAUUUCCACCCUUUCAUAAAAACUCACUUCUCCAAGUUUCUAAUCAACUCUUUUUACUUUACUCUCCCCAACUUUAGAUUCCAAAACCAAAUUUAUUCAAUAAUGCUCCCUACUUAGACAUAAGCAAAAGGCAAAAUUUGCAAACAACUCGGUUUGAGGGUUCAAU